UACGUAGGUCCCGAGCGUUGUCCGGAAUUACUGGGUGUAAAGGGUGCGCAGGCGGUUAUGCAAGACAGAUGUGAAAUCCCCGGGCUCAACCUGGGAACUGCAUUUGUGACUGCAUUGCUAGAGUACGGUAGAGGGGGAUGGAAUUCCGCGUGUAGCAGUGAAAUGCGUAGAUAUGCGGAGGAACACCGAUGGCGAAGGCAAUCCCCUGGACCUGUACUGACGCUCAUGCACGAAAGCGUGGGGAGCAAACAGG
rnacentral:rRNA from 1 species